GAUGAACGCUGGCGGCGUGCCUAAUACAUGCAAGUCGAGCGAACAGAUAAGGAGCUUGCUCCUUUGACGUUAGCGGCGGACGGGUGAGUAACACGUGGGUAACCUACCUAUAAGACUGGGAUAACUUCGGGAAACCGGAGUUAAUACCGGAUAACAUUUGGAACCGCAUGGUUCUAAAGUGAAAGAUGGUUUUGCUAUCACUUAUAGAUGGACCCGCGCCGUAUUAGCUAGUUGGUAAGGUAACGGCUUACCAAGGCGACGAUACGUAGCCGACCUGAGAGGGUGAUCGGCCACGCGGGAGCUGAGACACGGUCCAGACUCCUACGGGAGGCAGCAGUAGGGAAUCGUCCGCAAUGGGCGAAAGCCUGACGGAGCAACGCCGCGUGAGUGAUGAAGGGGUUCGGCUCGUAAAACUCUGUUAUUAGGGAAGAACAAAUGUGUAAGUAACUGUGCACGUCUUGACGGUACCUAAUCAGAAAGCCACGGCUAACUACGUG
rnacentral:rRNA from 1 species